CCCCUUUUCGAAAGGUGUCAUCUAAACCCAGUGGUCUAAUACUUUUGUUAGAUACUUACUUUUGUACUUUAAAAAAAAAAGUACUGAAAUGAGAUUAAGAUAAGGUUCAUGGCUGCAAUGGUAAAUUGCGCUUUCAGUGGAAGCCAUUUCUAGUUUAGUUAUUAUUUGACCCAGUGCGCAUGCGCUCACGUCAAAUUGAGAAGGCAUGCACCUGCUUGUUAGUCAUUAGGGGACUGAUUACAAAUACCUUAAAUUGUAGUUUCGCUUCAGCGACUGUUGUAUACUCUCUGCCCUAUCCGUCAUGAAAGCGCCUGGUCUUAAAAGCAAGCGGUGCACUGCAUCUAGAAGCUCCAUAUCAAGAACCAGAGGACACGCUGCGUUCAUGUACACGGCCCGACAACAGUCAGCAGUAAGAAGCGUCCAUGAGUCCAGGGGCGUAAGCAGAUAUUUGCUGCAGAGAGUGGGGUCAGAGGCCGCGCGUCUCUCCUGUUUCAGCCGCCACAGAAUCGUCACGCGGAGGGAGAUUCUGGAGGCCUGGAAUCAACUGAGACGCCGCAGAAAUCCCGCUGCGCUGGCUGGCGCCUGAACCUUGAAACUUUUUAGUUUAAGCUUUUAAUGUAUAUAACAAUUUUAGCUGAUUUUGUAAAUAUUUAUUUGUUGAAAUAAUAAAAUCAUUUUGCUUAA